CAGAGCACGAGGCUGCUGUUUGGCUCCUGCGGUCCGGGUUCUGGUUCUCCAUCGUCCUGCAGGUCUGUGACUGGUGGACCGUGUUGUCCUGGACUGAGUCUGGAUUCUGGUCUCGGAGCUCUUCAGGCUGCGGGCCUUUCCGGAAGUAAUUCCUCUCCGUUUGCGCGUUCACGCUGAGGCCGGAGUGGUAGCGGGUUCCUCCAGUGCUGCUUGUUGAAGGUGUGUAACAGCCUUAGCUGCACGAUGGGGAACCUUUCUUUCAAACGUCAUCCUCACGGGUAGGACUAGUGACCAAAUGAGUUGUGGGAAACGACUUCAAGUGGCGAGUCGUAAACCUCCAAAAAGACGACAGUAAGAAGUAGAAAACGAGUGAGUCUGUUUAAACAAGUCACUAAACUAGACUAAAGACUCCCAUACAAAGAAGAGAAUCUGCACGUCCAGCCGAUCAACCCAGCUACACCUGAAGAAGCUGCAGCCGGAGGCUCCGUGGGUAAAAUCAGCUGACAAUUGAUGUGAACAGCAAAUAAAAAUGUACA